AACCAUAUGUGAGUUUUCUUUUUGAUAUUUGCUCAGCGUGGCACACUACUAUUCCAGUUCUAAGUAAAUAUUAAUUUGACUUGAAGAACAUUAAAAUUUCACUUGAAGGGCUUCAAAGUUUAUUAGAAAAUUCUUUACUUUAAAUUAACCGCCGAUUCAUUCUUAUAAAAUUUCGAAUUCAAGAAGAAGAACGGCUUCAUUUCGAAGUUAACUUCGAGAAGAAGAAGAAAAUGGCGGACGCAACAUAAAAUUCAUAUCCGUUCUGUUUCCAAUUCCGCCGUUACUUUAAAGUAGUACUACGGUGGUACCACUGUUGUACUGCUACCAGAACGUCAAUGUGGAAAGUUCUGUUGUGACCCUUUAAAGGCUUUUUUACGUCCAAAUUGCAAGAUGCACAGCGUUAAGUGUGAUGAUAAUGAAACUGAAGCACAGUCUGACUGAAAAUAACAAGAAAGUAUCCAACAAUGCAAUUCUGAAAAGCUCUAAAAGACCACUGGGUUCUUUGAAUUUUUCGAAUAAACAGACAAACAGGAUUCAAACUUCAUUUUCUACAAUUGCACAACGAAAGAUUGCGGAAUCUAGGUUUAGAAAUCCAAAGGGGAUGGGACCAUUUACAGCGGAGAAAAUUUUCUACUUGGCUUAAUCGGAAUGCCUGAUGCCUGAUAACGCUAGGAUACUGGACCGAACAUCAUAGAUUUGUCCAGUAGAAUAUCCUUUCCACCUUCCAGAAAUUGGGGAUGAAAUUUGGCAACAUGGCCUGGGUUAACUGUUGUUCCAUUUCCAGGGGUUCCACAGUUAACCAGUUCAGCUAUGACGAUGAGACAUUCUAUCUUGGUUAGUCGUGGCGAAUGGAGUUGAUAAGUUUUAAGACGACGCGUGGUAUUAACUUUUCUUGGCCUGGGACUUGAAUGGUGCGCUUUGUAGAAUGGGAAAAUGGCGGGGCUUUAAUUAUACAAGCCAAAACCUAAUAGCAUUGAGCGUAAGCUUCUUGCAAUAAGUGAUUCAGAUGUGUGAGUUUGUGAGGAAAAUAUGCCAGAAUAUGUUCAGCACUCGGGAGCUCUGCGUAAGAAAACGUAGUGGCUUCACAGCAAUCCGAUAUCUAGAAAAUCUCAGAUGAUUUGGAAGUUAAGCUUUUUCAACCGUUUGGAGGGACGCUAUCUUCCAUUGUUGUGAGAUUCCAGCUCUCCCCAGAAAGUGGGUCAAAGCUAGCCCAAAAAAUCUAGGGUGAAAGUACUCGUAUUUUCGGAGCUUAGGCUAUGCGUUAAGGCGUUGAACAAUUGGGGGAGGCAUAAAAGCUUCAUUAGAUACAAAGUGUAUCUAAAGCUGUACAUGCUUGCUUUCGUAAUCUUAGCGAAACUUUGAAUCACUUUAAAUAUGGCGGGAGAAUGGGCAGCUUCUUACCACAUGCUAUUUAGUAAGGGUAGAACAAGGAAUAUUGGGGUGGAGUUUCUGCAGUAAUACAUUUGUAUAAGGGGAAUGAGGAAACAGUAUGAUAUAUGGGGGAGUUUAGUAGAGAUCUGAUGGAAAUCCCCAAGGAAAAUUAACUCAGUUCCAUAAGGAGCGAUGAAUGUGGUUAUUGGAAAAGUUGCCCGUUCAAUACUUUCAAAAUCUUGAAUAUGUGGGAAACUGUUCUGUAAAGGACGUCAUGUUAAAUAGAUUUUUGAAUUAAUUUUGGGCAAUUGGUGGACUAUGUAGAAUCAUUAAAACAUUUCAGCAGACUAAAAUGGACCAAAAAUAAAUCUAUUGUGGGAUUUCAGCGCAGCGCAAUACUUAAUUAUUUAUGAUGUCAAGGUAAGGGUGGGCAGUUCGAGUGUCAAGGUCGGGGCGUCGGGUAUCUUACGAUUCAGGGCAUGGAUUGUUUGCGUUGACUUUGUUCUCGUCCAUCUACUGUGGCACUCACUUCCACAGAGAUUAUGAGACCAAGGCAGAAGAUCAUUUAUAGUAGGAGGGGAGAAAGUAAUUAAGGGGGAGGGGGCUAUGGGUAUGCUCCCCGC